GAUGAAUAACGUAGCGAAAUGCGAUAAGUAAUGUGAAUUGCAGAAUUCAGUGAAUCAUCGAAUCUUUGAACGCACAUUGCGCCCAUUAGUAUUCUAGUGGGCAUGCCUGUUCGAGCGUCAUUAAGUCCACUUAAGCCCUGCUUAGUGUUGGGAGACUGCUCCAGCGGUGCUACCCUGUAGCUACCCUGCAGCUCCUCAAAGACAGCGGCGGAGUUGUGGUAUCCUCUGAGCUUAGUAACUUGUUCUAGCUUUCGAGUACACCACUUCCACUGCCGUAAAACCCUUAAUUUUUAAUGGUUGACCUCGGAUCAGGUAGGAAUACCCGCUGAACUUAAGCAUAUCAAUAAGCGGAGGA
rnacentral:misc_RNA from 1 species